ACGGUCACAUUAGGUUGAAACACCGUUUCCCGUACGAUCACUGAAGUUCAGCAACGUCGAGCCUGGUCAGUACCUAGAAUAGGUGACCGCUUGGGAAUACCAGGUGUUGUAUG